rnacentral:lncRNA from 1 species
AUGUUCACGCGCUCCCCGUGGAGCGAAGCCCUGAGCCUCGCGCUGCCGCCUGCGCCCACGAGUCUCCAGCAGAGCCCAGAUCCGGAGCCUCCCAGGCCGCUCACUGCGGGGGGCGGGGGGGUCACAACCCUCCCUGGCGCCACUGCCACUCACCCCAUCCCUGUUUCUGAACCACUGGGUGCUCAGGGAACACGUGGGGGGCUGUGGGGCGAGGGGCUGGGCCAGGCCGGGGGGACAGUGGCCUCGGGGCGCAGGCCCGUCACCGAGUCCCCAGCAGUCCCCACCGUCGCGUGUGUCCCCACCUCCACCGCCGGCCAAGCGGGCCUCGACUUCCCCCCGAGCCCCGGCAGGUCCCCCGGCCGGGCGGGCCUCGACUUCCCCCCGAGCCCCAGCAGGUGCAGAGCGAGCCUCGACUUCCCCCGAGCCCCGGCAGGUCCCCCGGCCGGGCGGGCCUCGACUUCCCUCGAGCCCCGGCAGGUGCAGAGCGAGACUCGACUUCCCCCGAGCCCCCGCGGGUCCCCCGGCCGGGCGGGCCUCGACUUCCCCCUGAGCCCUAGCAGGUGCAGAGCGAGACUCGACUUCCCCCAGCCCCGGCAGGUCCCCCGGCCGCGCGGGCCUCGACUUCCCUCGAGCCCCGGCAGGUGCACCGGCCGGGCGGGCCUCGACUUCCCCCCGAGCCCCAGCAGGUGCAGAGCGAGCCUCGACUUCCCCCGAGCCCCCCGGGCAGGUCCCCCGGCCGGGCGGGCCUCGACUUCCCCCCGAGCCCCAGCAGGUGCCGCGCGGGCCUCGACUUCCCCCCGAGCCCCAGCAGGUGCCGAGCGGCCUCGACUUCCCCCAGAGCCCCGGCAGGUGCCCCCGGCCAGGCGGCGCCUCGACUUCCCCCCGAGCCCCAGCAGGUGCCGCGCGGGCCUCGACUUCCCCCAGCCCCGGCAGGUCCCCCGGCCGCGCGGGCCUCGCCUCCCGGGGCGCGGCCCCGCCCUCCCUGGGGACCCGCGGAGGAGCGGCGGCGCCCGGUGA